UGUAUGCAGCAAACUGGUCCUGGUUACCUUGCUGUGGCUACUCGAAUGCAUUUUCAGAGGAAAAUAGUGAAUGGAAUGAUUGGCAAACUACUGUUUUACAGGAGCGUAAUAUUGUGGAAAAUGUCUACAGAUGGGCUUGCGGGCGCCCAACUGCAUUGCAAGAUAGGACAAGGGAUAGUGAUGAGGAUGAUCUUCAUGACAGAGAUUUUGAUGUAGCAGCUUUAGCAAAUAAUCUUAGCCAAGCAUUUAGAUACUCGAUAAAUGAUAAUGAGGAUGCUGAGGAGGGCAAUGGGGCUCUUGA